UACGAAGGGUGCAAACGUUGCUCGGAAUCAUUGGGCGUAAAGCGCACGUAGGCGGCUUCGCAAGUCGGGAUGUGAAAUCCCUCGGCUCAACCAAGGACGUGCAUCCGAAACUGCAAGCUUGAGUACAGAAGAGGAUCGCGGAAUUCCCGGUGUAGAGGUGAAAUUCGUAGAUAUCGGGAGGAACACCAGUGGCGAAGGCGGCGAUCUGGGCUGAUACUGACGCUGAGGUGCGAAAGCGUGGGGAGCAAACAGG
rnacentral:rRNA from 1 species